GAAGCGAAACUCAAAAAAGUAAGUCUCAGUUCGGAUUGAAGGCUGAAAUUCGCCUUCAUGAAGCCGGAAUUGCUAGUAAUGGCAGGUCAGCAUACUGCCGUGAAUACGUUCCCGGGCCUUGUACACACCGCCCGUCACACCAUGAGAGUUGGGGAUACCCGAAGCCUGUGAGCCAACUGUAAAGAGGCAGCAGUCGAAGGUAGAAUCAAUGAUUGGGGUGAAGUCGUAACAAGGUACC
rnacentral:rRNA from 1 species